AUUGAACGCUGGCGGCAGGCCUAACACAUGCCAGUCGAGCGGAUGAAGGGAGCUUGCUCCUGGAUUCAGCGGCGGACGGGUGAGUAAUGCCUAGGAAUCUGCCUGGUAGUGGGGGAUAACGUCCGGAAACGGGCGCUAAUACCGCAUACGUCCUGAGGGAGAAAGUGGGGGACCUUCGGACCUCACGCUAUCAGAUGAGCCUAGGUCGGAUUAGCUAGUUGGUGGGGUAAAGGCCUACCAAGGCGACGAUCCGUAACUGGUCUGAGAGGAUGAUCAGUCACACUGGAACUGAGACACGGUCCAGACUCCUACGGGAGGCAGCAGUGGGGAAUAUUGGACAAUGGGCGAAAGCCUGAUCCAGCCAUGCCGCGUGUGUGAAGAAGGUCUUCGGAUUGUAAAGCACUUUAAGUUGGGAGGAAGGGCAGUAAGUUAAUACCUUGCUGUUUUGACGUUACCAACAGAAUAAGCACCGGCUAACUUCGUG
rnacentral:rRNA from 1 species